GUCCCUCGUAACCUAAUCGAUCUCUUCUUUUACACUUCGAGUUGUCGUCGAGGCGCAAGAGAUCGACAGAGAGAUGGAGAGGGUCAGGACGACGUGAAGCAGCUCGAAGAUUGCCCCGUUGCCAAGAGGAAUAAAAGUGGUCAAAUAUAGAUUGAUCAUCAGGAAAUGUUACUUAGUGGUGGAAGUUCCAUGAUGAGCUUUUCAACUGGCACACGACAUGUUAUUAUAUGCCCCCUAAAGCAUUCAUCCUAGUAUGGAGAAAUUUACAGCAGAUACAACAACUUGACGUCUGGAUCAUAUCGACUUGACCUUUGUUUUGCUUGCUUUUCCUCCGAAGUGCGCUCGGUACAUGGUUCUUCUCAGUAGCUGGAGCUUUGAUUGCAAUUGCUGUGGGAAUACAUAAGAAAUCACUGGCGCCAUUGGUCUUCUUCGGUACCACCGGCACCAUGCUUGAUAUCAUCGUGGGAAUCAGCCA